rnacentral:rRNA from 1 species
UACAGAGGUCUCAAGCGUUGUUCGGAUUCAUUGGGCGUAAAGGGUGCGUAGGUGGCGCCGUAAGUCGGGUGUGAAAUUUCGGAGCUUAACUCCGAAACUGCAUUCGAUACUGCGGUGCUUGAGGACUGGAGAGGAGACUGGAAAUUCAUGGUGUAGCAGUGAAAUGCGUAGAGAUCAUGAGGAAGACCAGUGGCGAAGGCGGCAUCCUGGGACCAUUACUGACACUGAAAAGCGAAAGCCAGGGGAGCAAACGGGG